AGCGACCGCGCCGAACCUACUUCGAAAGUAAAAUUUCUCAGUGGGUAAUCCAUUAGAAGUAAUGACUCGCAUAGACCAUGGCACAACUAAAUGUACGCGCAGGUUCUACCCGGCUCGCCUUUGUGUGAGUGCAGUGCGUAGCUUGUUGUUUCGUACGUGCCACUCCGUAUUAAUUCGUACGUGGGGAUAGAUCAUUGUUUAAUUGUUGGUCUCGGUCUUAACUAGGAAUGCCUUGUACGGGUCUCUGGUUCAACAUACCACCCGGAAUACGUCCCUGCCCUUUGUACACACCGCCCGUCGCUCUUACCGAUGGAUUAUGCUAUGAAUCUAUAGGACUGCCAAAGCGUGUAGGAGCUUAGUGGAAAUAUAUAGAAUAGCGGAUCU
rnacentral:rRNA from 2 species